rnacentral:rRNA from 1 species
UACGUAGGAUGCGAGCGUUGUCCGGAAUCACUGGGUGUAAAGGGAGCGCAGGCGGGUCGGUAAGUCAGUGGUGAAAUUCUCAGGCUUAAACUGGGGACUGCCACUGAUACUGCUGAUCUUGAGUACAGAAGAGGUGGAUGGAAUUCUUGGUGUAGCGGUGAAAUGCGUAGAUAUCAAGAAGAACACCGAUGGCGAAGGCAGUUCACUGGUCUGUUACUGACGCUCAGGCUCGAAAGCGUGGGGAUCAAACAGG